ACGGGAGGCAGCAGUGGGGAAUAUUGGGCAAUGGGGGGAACCCUGACCCAGCAACGCCGCGUGGAGGAAGAAGGUUUUCGGAUCGUAAACUCCUGUCCUUGGUGAAGAGCAGAAGACGGUAGCCAAGGAGGAAGCCCCGGCUAACUACGUGCCAGCAGCCGCGGUAAUACGUAGGGGGCAAGCGUUGUCCGGAAUGAUUGGGCGUAAAGGGCGCGUAGGCGGCCCGGUAAGUCUGGAGUGAAAGUCCUGCCUUUAAGUUGGGACUUGCUUUGGAUUCUGUCGGGCUUGAGUGCAGGAGAGGUAAGUGGAAUUCCCAGUGUAGCGGUGAAAUGCGUAGAGAUUGGGAGGAACACCAGUGGCGAAGGCGACUUACUGGACUGUAACUGUCGCUGAGGCGCGAAAGUGUGGGGAGCAAACAGGAUUAGAUACCCUGGUA
rnacentral:rRNA from 1 species